UUUUUUCCCACCAACCACUGGUUUUUCCAUUCCGUUACUGACACUGAGUUUUAUUAAUGUUUCACUGUGGAUGCUCACCUGGAUCACUAAGAAAGCAACACCUUAGUAUGGUUUUAUUUGAUUUUGAAUGGCUGUUCCAUAUGGAAACCAUAACUUUAGGAAAUUAUAAUGCAAGAAAAACUAGAAAGAAACAUGAUCCAGGGAUACCUGGGUGGCUCAGCGGUUGAGUGUCUACCUUCGGCUCAGGUCAUGAUCCUGUGGUCCUGGGAUCAAGUUCCGCAUCAGGCUUCUCGCAGUGAGCCUGCUUCUCCCUCUGCCUUUGUUUCUGCCUCUCUGAAUCUCUCAUGAAUAAAUAAAUAAAAUCUUUUUUAAAAAGAAAAAAAGAAGAAAACAUGAUCCAAGGGGCUCCUGGGUAGCUCAGUUGGUUAAGUGUCUGCCUUCAGCUCAGGUCAUGAUCUCAGGGUCCUGGGAUGGAGUCCUAUAUUAUCAGUUUCCCUGCUCAGCAAGAGGUCUGCUUCUCCCUCUCCCCCACCUCGACUGCUUGUGUUCUCUCUCACUCUCUCUCUCUUUCUCAAAUAAAUAAAAUCUUAGAAAAGAAAACAUUAUCCAAGUGAAGAAACCUAUAAAUAAACUAAGAUACCAAAAAAGAUAUUAUUAAAGAUGAAAAAAUAAAUUGUGAAUAUAUCUCUUCCUCCCAAAUCCAUCUAUAAUCCCAAACUAAAUCACAAUUGUGGGAGGUACUUGACAAAAUAAGCACCUUCUAAAAUCCCACUUUUAUUAAAAGAGAAGCAGUGGUAGCCAGCUUCUGAUAAUGAACACCCUUGGCCUUCUGUAAGUUGUUAAUUACUUCAGUAAAUAUUAGUUUUACUUAAUCCUCUUUAUUAAGACUAUUUGAAGGACACCUAGUCUGGCUAAUUUCUUAUUGACAAACAUUUCCCAUUAUUACACUUUACAGAGUUUCUCUACUACACGGGAUUUCUUAUGUCUACAGAUUGCAUUUUUGCUAGUUUUACCACAUGCACAUUGUUUGGAACAUUUCUUUUUUAUGCACAAACCAAUGAAUGAAGAUUCUCACUGAAGAAGUCCUAUCCACACCAUUUAAGGUAGCUGCACUGCCACAUAUAACCUUAAAUAUUUAGAAGUUUUGAAUUCAAUUAUGAAGUUGUUUCCUUACGUGAACUCCAAUGACCAUGAAAUAUGUUGCCGUUAAAUCCCUCUGUCAUAGUUGGCAUAACCUGGGCAAUACCAGCAAGAAAUAAACUGCCAAAAUAUCAGUAGUAUAACACAAUACAUGUUUAUUUCUUACUCAAGAAAAAUAAAGUCCAACAGAGGUCAGAUAGCCAUCUUCUACCAAUCAAGCCUGGAACAGCCUCCAAAGUCGCCAUCAAGACAGAAAAGGUGCCCAGAGGGACAUCACAAGAUGUUUGUAAGGGCCAGGCCGGGAAGGAGCUUAUAUUACUUAUGCUCACGCUCUGUUGCUUGGAACUCUAUCACAUGGACCAGCUCUUAACUGCAAGGGUUUCUGGGAAAUGGAGUCUUUAUGUGACCAAGAAAUGGAACCAGCUGAGACAAACACACAGCCAUGCCUAUAAAGUUAACACUCGACAGAGCUUCUUCCUGUGUAGAAAAUCUAAUGGAAUGGACUAAUAUUCUUACCACGUUAAUAACAUGGGUUUCAUUUCUGAGCACUCUUCUGAAUAUCUUUCCAGUGAUACUCCUUUACUUUGCCACUGCAGCAUGUGACAGCUGAUGAGAGCUUUGCAGAAGUUCUUGGGAUCCACAGUAGAAUGCUCUUAAGAACCCCUGCUUGAGUGCUGCAGGAUGACAU
rnacentral:lncRNA from 1 species